rnacentral:miRNA from 1 species
AGACUGGUCAAUGAUUACAAUGCACUGUAAAACCUGUAGAAGGAAAGAAGAAUGUUUUGUGGAUCAUUUGGCUUUUUUGUGUGUAGCCGUUUUAAGUUAUUAGUUUUUAAAAUCAGU